rnacentral:tRNA from 2 species
GCCCGGAUGGCGGAAUUGGCAGACGCGACGGUCUCAAACACCGUUGGAGCAAUCCUUACCGGUUCGAUCCCGGUUCCGGGCA